AUGGAAUAAUGUAGGCAAGGGAAGUCGGCAAAACGGAUCCGUAACUUCGGGAAAAGGAUUGGCUCUGAGGACUGGGCUCGGGGGUCCCGGCCCCGAACUCGUCGGCUGUCGGCGGAUUGCUCGAGCUGCUCACGCGGCGAGAGCGGGUCGCCGCGUGCCGGCCGGGGGACGGACCGGGAAUCGCCCCUUCGGGGGCUUUCCCCGAGCAUGAAACAGUCGACUCAGAACUGGUACGGACAAGGGGAAUCCGACUGUUUAAUUAAAACAAAGCAUUGCGAUGGUCCUCGCGGAUGCUGA
rnacentral:rRNA from 1 species